rnacentral:lncRNA from 1 species
GUUAGAAAAUGGACAAGGAAGAGCAAAGACUCAGGUCAAUUCAAGGUAAACACAUGAGAACAUCUCUGCAUAGUGAUACGGUGGGGAGAGAUUUGUGUAGAGCUCAGUUUGGGAAUGAAGAACAAAGGGUCAACAAUAAUACAUUGAACCAGAGAGUUGGUCAAAAUUAAGCUAUUAAAAUGAAUUUCAUGAUGUAUGUUCCAUUUUUUUUUUCUCAUAGUCACAGAAAAUAGAACAUUAACGAUGUCUGCUGUGUUGUAUCUCCAAGCAGGAAAACAACUCAUUGGUCAGAACUACUUGCCUGGUUCAACCACAGGGCUCUGUGGGGGACAGGGCAGUGAAAAGGACCUUUCACGGAGAUUACUCAUAAGAAACAAGGCUAAGUCUCCCCAGAGGAAAACUACAAGGGUCCUACCGCCGGGGUAGUGACGAGCACAUGCACGCGUGAGUCUGGUUGCUCUCAUCUUUGAAUUCUCUGCUGAAAUAGCACGUCCUCACAGGGAACUUGCCCAACCACCCUCUUCAAAGCAGAAGCCCCAGGUUCAUUUCUGACCUAGCAUCCCAUUUAUUUUCUUCAGAACAUGUGCUAUAAUAUGUAAAUAGCUUCUUUAUUGUUCACUGUUAAAUUUUUCUAUCUAGAAUGAAAUGUGUUUAUUGCAGGAAAAUGGAAUCUUGUAAGAACGGUUUGUCCAGAUCACUUCGGGAUCCCCAGCACCUGGCACGUGGUGGCACCUACUAGCUUCUCAAUGAAAGCUUGUUCAAUAAAUGAAUGACCCCCACUAUUGGUGAGAGUGUC